rnacentral:rRNA from 1 species
ACUCCUACGGGAGGCAGCAGUAGGGAAUCUUUCCACAAUGGGCGGCAAGCCUGAUGGAGCAACACCGCGUGAGUGAAGAAGGGUUUCGGCUCGUAAAGCUCUGUUGUUAAAGAAGAACACGUAUGAGAGUAACUGUUCAUACGUUGACGGUAUUUAACCAGAAAGUCACGGCUAACUACGUGCCAGCAGCCGCGGUAAUACGUAGGUGGCAAGCGUUAUCCGGAUUUAUUGGGCGUAAAGAGAGUGCAGGCGGUUUUCUAAGUCUGAUGUGAAAGCCUUCGGCUUAACCGGAGAAGUGCAUCGGAAACUGGAUAACUUGAGUGCAGAAGAGGGUAGUGGAACUCCAUGUGUAGCGGUGGAAUGCGUAGAUAUAUGGAAGAACACCAGUGGCGAAGGCGGCUACCUGGUCUGCAAACUGACGCUGAGACUCGAAAGCAUGGGUAGCGAACAGGAUUAGAUACCCUGGUAGGAUAGCG